rnacentral:rRNA from 1 species
GGACUACCCGGGUUUCUAAUCCUGUUUGCUCCCCACGCUUUCGCGCCUCAGCGUCAGUUUCGAGCCAGUAAGCCGCCUUCGCCACUGGUGUUCUUGCGAAUAUCUACGAAUUUCACCUCUACACUCGCAGUUCCACUUACCUCUCUCGAACUCAAGACAAACAGUAUCAAAGGCAGUUCCAAGGUUGAGCCUUGGGAUUUCACCCCUGACUGAUUCGCCCGCCUACGCGCCCUUUACGCCCAGUAAAUCCGAACAACGCUAGCCCCCUUCGUAUUACCGCGGCUGCUGGCAC